rnacentral:rRNA from 1 species
GGAGGGCAAGUCUGGUGCCAGCAGCCGCGGUAAUUCCAGCUCCACUAGCGUAAAAUAUUACUGCUGCGGUUAAAAAGCUCGUAGUUGAAUCUAGUCGUGUCCGUUGGGUUUGUCGUUGGCGUUUAUUCGUCUCUGGCGUUAAUUCACGGCCGAUUUUUGCUGGUUUGCUGUUGGUCUUCGGAUCUUCGGUGGCUAGCGAGUUACUUUGAUCAAAUCAGAGUGCUCAAAACAGGCGAAAGCUUGUAUGAUUUCUCGAGGAAUAACAGAAGAGGACUUCGGUUCUAUUUGUUGGUUCCAGAAUCGUUUAAUGGUUAAGAGGGACAAUUCGGGGGCAAACGUAUCCUCGCGCGAGGGGUGAAAUCCGUAGACCGUGAGGAGACGACCAAUAGCGAAAGCAUUUGCCAAGAAUGUCUCCAUUAAUCAAGAACGAAAGUCAGAGGUUCGAAGGCGAUUAGAUACCGCCCUAGUUCUGACCGUAA